UUAUGUACAUACCUACAACAUAGCGUUAGUGCAUCAGAUACCAUUAGAACUCCACAGUUAAGCACACUCGGGCUAGAGUAGUACUGGGAUAGGUGACCACCCGGGAAGUCCUAGUAUUUUACAUGCC
rnacentral:rRNA from 1 species